rnacentral:rRNA from 1 species
CGGCGUGGAUGAGGCAUGCAAGUCGAACGAAGCGAUCCGGGCUUGCUCGGAGAGCUUAGUGGCGGAAGGGUCAGUAAUACUUGGGUAAUCUACCUUCGACCCGGGAAUAACAGCUGGAAACGGCUGCUAAUACCGGAUGAGGUGACGGGAAGCAUUUUCCGCUCAUCAAAGUGGGGGACCUCUUCGGAGGCCUCGCGGUUGGAGAGGAGCCCAAGGGAUAUCAGCUUGUUGGUGUGGUAAUGGCGCACCAAGGCUAAGACGUCUAGGCGGAUCGAGAGGUUGACCGCCGACACUGGGACUGAGAACUGCCCAGACUCCUACGGGAGGCUGCAGUCGAGAAUCAUUCGCAAUGGGCGAAAGCCUGACGAUGCGACGCCGUGUGAGCGAAGAAGGCCUUCGGGUUGUAAAGCUCUUUCGCAUUGGAACAAGGAAGCGUGGCAAAUAGCUGCGUUUUUUGAGGGUACUUUGUAAAGAAGCACCGGCUAACUCCGUGCCAGCAGCUGCGGUAAUACGGAGGGUGCAAGCGUUAAUCGGAUUUAUUGGGCGUAAAGGGCGUCUAGGUGGAAGAGUAGGUCAGACGUGAAAUCCCAGGGCUCAACUCUGGAAAUGCGUUUGAAACCACUUUUCUUGAGGGUAGGCGGGGGAAACGGAAUUCCACGUGUAGCGGUGAAAUGCGUAGAUAUGUGGAAGAACACCGGUGGCGAAGGCGGUUUCCUAGCUUAUACCUGACACUGAAGCGCGAAAGCGAGGGGAGCAAACAGGAUUAGAUACCCUGGUAGUCCUCGCCGUAAACGAUGCACACUAGAUGUAGUCGGAAUCAACCCCGGCUGUGUCGUAGCUAACGUGUUAAGUGUGCCGCCUGGGGAGUACGCUCGCAAGGGUGAAACUCAAAAGAAUUGACGGGGGCCCGCACAAGCAGUGGAGCAUGUGGUUUAAUUCGAUGCAACGCGAAGAACCUUACCCAGACUUGACAUGUAAGAGACCGCUCCAGAGAUGGAGUUUCCCUUCGGGGCUGUUACACAGGUGCUGCAUGGCUGUCGUCAGCUCGUGCCGUGAGGUGUCGGGUUAAGUCCCGCAACGAGCGCAACCCUUAUC